AGAGUUUGAUUCUGGCUCAGGAUGAACGCUGGCGGCGUGCCUAAUACAUGCAAGUCGAACGCACAGCGAAAGGUGCUUGCACCUUUCAAGUGAGUGGCGAACGGGUGAGUAACACGUGGAUAACCUACCUCAAGGUUGGGGAUAACAUUUGGAAACAGAUGCUAAUACCGAAUAAAACUUCGUAUCGCAUGAUACAAGGUUAAAAGGCGCUACGGCGUCACCUAGAGAUGGAUCCGCGGUGCAUUAGUUAGUUGGUGGGGUAAAGGCCUACCAAGACAAUGAUGCAUAGCCGAGUUGAGAGACUGAUCGGCCACAUUGGGACUGAGACACGGCCCAAACUCCUACGGGAGGCUGCAGUAGGGAAUCUUCCACAAUGGGCGAAAGCCUGAUGGAGCAACGCCGCGUGUGUGAUGAAGGCUUUCGGGUCGUAAAGCACUGUUGUAUGGGAAGAACAGCUAGAGUAGGGAAUGACUUUAGUUUGACGGUACCAUACCAGAAAGGGACGGCUAAAUACGUGCCAGCAGCCGCGGUAAUACGUAUGUCCCGAGCGUUAUCCGGAUUUAUUGGGCGUAAAGCGAGCGCAGACGGUUGAUUAAGUCUGAUGUGAAAGCCCGGAGCUCAACUCCGGAAAGGCAUUGGAAACUGGUCAACUUGAGUGCAGUAGAGGUAAGUGGAACUCCAUGUGUAGCGGUGGAAUGCGUAGAUAUAUGGAAGAACACCAGCGGCGAAGGCGGCUUACUGGACUGUAACUGACGUUGAGGCUCGAAAGUGUGGGUAGCAAACAGGAUUAGAUACCCUGGUAGUCCACACCGUAAACGAUGAA
rnacentral:rRNA from 1 species